rnacentral:rRNA from 1 species
CAGUCGCCGCGGUAAUACGGAGGGUGCAAGCGUUACUCGGAAUUACUGGGCGUAAAGCGUGCGUAGGUGGUGGUUUAAGUCCGUUGUGAAAGCCCUGGGCUCAACCUGGGAAUUGCAGUGGAUACUGGGUCACUAGAGUGUGGUAGAGGAUAGUGGAAUUUCCGGUGUAGCAGUGAAAUGCGUAGAGAUCGGGAGGAACAUCAGUGGCGAAGGCGGCCAUCUGGGACAACACUGACGCUGAGGCACGAAAGCGUGGGGAGCAAACAGGAUUAGAUACCCCCGUAGUCCCUGUCUCUUAUAC